GUCUCUCACUACGCUCUGUCAUUGGUCUCCGUAAGGAGUCCAGGAACAGAGCAUAAGUGUGUUGGGAUUCCUCAGAAAUAUGCUGGGAAUCUGCUCAUAGGUCUUGUGUCCACUUAAUCCUGGCGCAAGCUUCUCAAGUCAAUUCACCUGAAUGGGAAACUUAAAGCUAUGAGGAAGAAAGGAACCGGCGUGGGUAAAUUUAGACUAUUCUUCAAUUCUCUUCCUGAUGGGAGAUGAACUUGACUCCUUCUCCUGCAUCCCCUCUUGACUUCUCAGUGAAAGCAUUUGGGACGGUGUGGGAACAAGUUGCUAAGCUUCCCGAUGUUUGGAUCUUGGUGCGUGUUCCAGGAAAUUACCAAAGGAGAGAGAAAAUAGCAAAUGGUUGGCUUAAAGAAUGGACAAUUCAGAUAUGCCAGCUGAGAUAAUUAUGACUUAAAGGCUGGAGAUCCCUUAAGAAGGAACUAGCACAGAGCAAAUAACAAUGAUGUGUUUACAAAAGAACGUCCAACCGUGAUCUUCAACUUCACCGAACAGCUCUACCUACAGAACAGAGACAUGUAGUCAUGGCUUGUCAACUAUCACAGCUUUCACAGCUAAUCAGGAGCAUCUAUUAUAACGAUCACAGAUUCUACAGCUAAUCAGAAGCAUUCAUUGUAACAAUUACAGAUUUUACAGCCAAUCAGAAGCAUUCAUUGUAACAAUCACAGACUUUGCAGUCAACUCGUAUGCUCUUUUCUACAUUUAAUUGUGUAAAAUGACCCAUAAUCGGUGCUUAUAUCUCCACGUGGUUUAAUUGAGUUUAUAGUGGCUGAAUCUCAUUAGCCUUCAGCUGCUCCCCUGCAUGUAAGUCCUGGAAUGAUGUGGACCUGCUGUAGAGUCUUGACCUGAAACAUCCGCCAGCCCUCUGCCUCCACCGAUGCUGCCUGACCUGCUGAGUUCCUCCAACGGUUUGUUUUUUGGACCUGCUUUAAGUCUGCUGAGUAAUAGAUGGCAGUGCCUCUGUCUCUCCUCCAUAGCUGGAUUCCAUUAGGAGGUCAACAGUGAAGCUCUCUGACUGUCUGGAAUUCCCCAGUUUUAGAAUGGGGAAUCCUCCUCUCUACUCCUAUGCCAACCAUACCUUUGAGUAAUCGUAAUCCCAGUCAUUUGAAAUGGGAUUCCUAGCCUGAAGAUUAGGAAGAAAUCAGUAAGUUAAAUUGUUUAUGUUUCACUUAUUUUGUUUAAAUGUUGUAGUGUUUUAAUGUGCUUUAAUUAUUAUUAAUACUACUCUCUUUAAUUCUUUUACAAAAACUUAUUUUUCCAAAACUUAUGCAUUCAUUGUAAUAGUUUUUAAAUGACUUUGAAUAUCAGAAAAAAUCUAGAGUUGCAGUUUCAGGUUUGAAAAGCAACAAUGUUCUCUGCCCAGUCUUGCCUCCUGUCAAAGGCAGUCAAUUCAUUCUAGGGGAGAGUUUCAAUGGCACAUUAACUGAGAUGUCACUACGUCCCACUCCCUCCAUGGUGUGGUGGGACAACUCGAGCAGCCUUCACAUCCAGCCUGUGUAGAGGUUACGGGCAACAGGUCAAAUCCAGUUUGAAUCCAUUCCAUAACACAAGAAUGAAAAUAAAAGGACUGCAGACUGAGAGGUUUGGCCUGGAUUUUGCAAUUGUAAGAAAGUGAAUCUGUUGGUGUUUUCUAUCAUUGCACCAUGCAACUGACAGCGAUCUCCAAAUGUUCACACUUCCACUGUUAAAUGCAAAAUUUCAGAAGCCCCCAGCAAUGAUUUGUUGCUCCUUUACCAUGUAUAAAGCUUUUCAAACUUCUUCAACUUAAUCUUCAGAAAGCUGUGAAUUAAUGACAACCUCAAGUGUUUGCAAGUUAGUCUCACUGUAAGAUAUCCUACAACUCUUAUGCUCUGUUGCAUGAGGCAUUAGUGAGUUUUAAUAUGUACUAAGUUAUAAUUACUGGCUACCAACACUUUCUCCCUCCCCUGCCCCAUCCCCCUUCAGCCAUAACACCUCAAUUCAUAUAUGUGGAUUGUAAUUCCCUCAUAAAUAUUUUAAAACAGAAUAGAUUUUGAAAUCAUAACUUAUUUUCUGGAUGCAACGCUAUUAGAGCGCCAGCAACCAGGGUUCAAUUCCGACCGCUCUCUGUGAGGAGUUUGUACGUUCUCCCCAUGUCUACGUGGGUCUCCUCCAGGUGCUCUGGUUUCCUCCCACAUUCCAAAGACGUACGGGUUAGGAAGUUGUGGGCAUGCUAUGUUGGCGCCGGAAGUGUGGCGACACUUGCGGGCUGCCCCAGAACACCCCACGCAAAAGAUGUAUUUCACUGUGUGUUUCGAUGUACAUGUGACUAAUAAAGAAAUCUUAUCUUAUCUUUAUUUACAAUAUUUCAGCUAUCUUAAUAUCUGUAUGCUAAAAUAAUUAAUUUUUUGUAUCAUGUAAAAUCUUUAAAACACAAGUUAAAAACUGUGCAUUUUGCUUCCUGGUUUGUUAACUGCAAGAACUUUUCAAUGUAAUUGGCUGUACGGCCUGCGUGAUGACAUCACAGCUGCCAAAUGUCCCUCUGAACUGACAGCUGACAGCAAUGGAAGUCUUUGCACUGUGAUGUGAACAGAGCUGCUAAUGCAGUUGUUGUAUUAAUACAAAGACAUUGGGCAGAACCAAACUGGUUGCUAAGGGAAUCUCCAGCCGUCAGUUGUUUGUGGCUCAGCUAAUUUUGGACUUUCUGUGCAUGCUCGGACUAAUGCUGAAGAUGCAAAUGACGUGUGCAUCAAGCCACUGGUGCAUCUGACCUUCCUGUCCACCACUGGAUACUCCUUACUCACUUUUAAUUCAUUCUGUUUAGACGUUGCGUAGUAAUAUAUUAGAUUUUCCAGUGAAUACAGUGAGUUUAAAGGGAGCACUGGGAACAGGGUCCCAGUGAGUUUAGAGGUAACAAGAGCCCAGUAUAUUUAAAGGGAGCACUGGAAUCAACGUGCCGGUGAGCCAAAUGCUGAACCGUUCAGAUUUUCAAACAAUCGGAUAGCAGAUUAUAGUUAUUUUGUUGUAAUUGCAUUGCUGAAAUGUGAUUUAUUUUCUCUAAGGUCAGUUGUCAAGACCCUUUAAACAUGAUUUCGAGUUUGUCUGAGUCAUUUGCCCAGCUCCUAGUAAUUUCCAAAGUGACUGAUUUAUUUCAAAACAUCAAAUUCAAAAUAGGCAAGACGCAAUUCUAUAAUGAAACCGUUAUCAAUCUAAGAUUUAAAUAAUCAGUCGAUGCACUUUGUCAGAUAUUGAAGAGCUUUGCAUCUGCCAUGUCAUUUGAUGCUACAUGCAAUUAUUUAGUUUUCAAUCAAAGCAAUCAACAGUAUAAAUUACUGGAAUUUCAUUAUCCUUCCUGAACGCACCUUCAAAAAUUUCUGAGCAAUCAAAAAUCCAUAGCAUUCCAAACUCAGUUUAUUAAUAUGCCACAUCCCAUUGCAUAAUAUUCACAGCCAGACAGUGGAGACUAAAAUUCCAGUGGCAUACUGAGGAAGUGCUGCAUGAUCAGAGAACCAUUGUAGAAUUGUUACAGUACAUAAGGAGAUCCAUGGGCCAAUGAAUCUACGUCAAUUCCUAGGAAAGCAAUUCCAUCAUUCCCAUUUCUCUUCCUUAUUCCCUAUGGCCAUAGAAAUUAUUCUCUCCCAAGCCUCAAUCCAAUUCGCCUCUGAAAGCCCUGAUUGAUCUGUGCCCAAAACCUCUGCACAGUGUGUUCCAGAUCAAAACUAUUCUCUGCUUAAAAAUGCUAUUCCCCCACACACACCUUGUAUCUUCUACCAAAAAUUUUAAAUCUGUGCUUCCUUCUCCUUGAACCAAUCACUAGUAGGAAAUGAAGCUUCUCGCUAUUGCCCUUAGCCAAACCAUUCAGAGGUGAAUGUUUCCGAUGAGGGGUUAAACUGCUGUCCCAUCACAGUUUUGAUCGGGGAUUACUGGCAAUAUCAAUGAAAGGUAUAGCACAGAGACAGGCCUCUCGGCCCACUUGAGUCUAUGCUGACCAUCAAACACACAUUUUUACACUAAUCCAAUCCUACCUCAUUUUAUUCAUCCCACAUUCCCAACAAACCCUUCACCCCCCCCCCCCCCAAGAUUCUACCAUCCACCUACAAGAUAGGGACGAUUUGCAGUGGUCAAUUCAACCAUUCAGUUCUGCCAACUCAGAUGUUUUUGGGAUGUGGGAGGAAACCGGAGCACCCGGAGGAAACCCACACAGUUACAUGGAGAACGUGCAAACUCCACACAGACAGCGCCAGCGGUCAGGAUUGAACCCGGGUGCUGUGAGGCAGCAGCUUUCCUAGUUAUGCCACCUGUACCCUGCCUCAUAUUUAUCCUUGGGACAAUACUAAAGGCAGGUGCUCUGGUCAAUAUCAUGGUGCUUUUUGUGAGACCUUAUUAUGAGCAAAGUGUCUCCUGCAUAUUCUGUGUAACAAUGGUGACAGCAAUCCAGGAUAUCCUUAAUUAGUUAUAAAACACUGAGCUGGUGAAAGGUGAUGUAUACUGUAAAUGCAAGUCUUUCUUUACAAAUAUGUUUUAUUACUGAUCACCUAUUUUCAAUC